UAGUAACUGCGAGUGAAGCGGGAAAAGCUCAAAUUUAAAAUCUGGCAGUCAUUGGCUGUUCCGAGUUGUAAUCUAGAGAAGCAUUAUCCGCGUUGGACCGUGUACAAGUCUCCUGGAAUGGAGCGUCAUAGAGGGUGAGAAUCCCGUCUUUGACACGGACUGCCAGGGCUUUGUGAUGUGCUCUCAAAGAGUCGAGUUGUUUGGGAAUGCAGCUCAAAAUGGGUGGUAAAUUCCAUCUAAAGCUAAAUAUUGGCGAGAGACCGAUAGCGAACAAGUACCGUGAGGGAAAGAUGAAAAGAACUUUGGAAAGAGAGUUAAACAGUACGUGAAAUUGCUGAAAGGGAAACGCUUGAAGUCAGUCGCGUUGGCCAGGGAUCAACCUUGCUUUUUUUGCUUGGCUUACUUCCUGGUUAAUGGGUCAGCAUCAAUUUUGACUGGUGGAAAAAGUUCAAGGGAAUGUGGCAUCUUCGGAUGUGUUAUAGCCUUUGCUCGCAUACAUCAGUUGGGAUUGAGGAACUCAGCACGCCGCAAGGCCGGGUUUUCAACCACGUACGUGCUUAGGAUGCUGGCAUAAUGGCUUUAAUCGACCCGUCUUGAAACACGGACCAAGGAGUCU
rnacentral:rRNA from 1 species